CACAGAUCCAUAGAUUAGGGCCUAAUGAAUUUAUUUAAAUUGACUGAUUUCCUUAUAUGAACUAUAACUCAGUAAAAUUGUUGAAAUUGUUGCAUGUUGCGUUUAUAUUUUUGUUCAGUUGACUUAUCUGUAUGGUCUGUUUCAGGAGUGUUCUCCAGAUCAGUUUGGCCAGAUGUUCCGUAACCUUCCUCCUCUGAUGUCUGGUUUCUUCAACACCUCCCUUCCUGUAUCCAGGAACAUCUGCAUCUCCAGAACACCAUGUAAAGACCCCUCCACCUCCUCACUGUCCUCCAAUCCCUCCCCAAACAACGCCCCCAGUCCCUCUCUGUCACUCAAACCCAGAGGUAAACCCCCUUUAGCACCAUCACGGUCACCCCAAUUCACAUUCCCAGACCCUCCCAGCCCUUCACUCUCCUCAAAGUCCAGCCCUAAGAAGAAGAAGCCCACCCCGUCAAAAUCACCAAAAUCCACAUGUAAAGAACCCAUUAGCCCCUCACAGUCCUUCAAAUCCAUGCCUAAACUCAUCCCAGACCCCACACUGACCCCUAAAAGCCCAUUUAAAAAGCCCACAGAUUACAACCAAUACCCCAAAACGCUGUCUAAGGGGCACCCAAGCCCUUCUCGGAGUCCCACCUCACCACAGACAGGUACAGUAGUUGAAUCCUACAAUGCUGUCUUACCUUUUCGCAAAACUAUAUGGCCACAAGCUGAAGGCAUAACUGCGACCCAUAUUCUAUGACCUAUCCCAGUGUUCUCUGUGUGUUUUUACAGAGAGGAACGAGGACACAGUGACAGAAGCCCCUGACAGCCUGAUGCUCAUUGAGAAUAUGGAGGAUGAAAAGGACACGUUGUCAAACUUGGCAUCACUAUCGAGAGGAGAUUCUGGCGAUGAGACUGGGACUACAUCUGCAGAGCAGAAGGAUAAGGGACAUAAAAAGGGUAGGGCUCUUUGGAGAUCUGUGAAGGAGGCAGAGAGGAAGUUUGAACAAACCUUGACCAACAGGAAUGAGGAGCUACCUUCCCAUAAAGCCCUUCCCACUGAGCUCCAGAGAAGUUCCAGUUUGAGUUCGUUGAAGGCAGAGGCCAUUCCCACAAAGAGUCACAAACCACUAAAGACCCCUCAGACCCCCCAAACCCCAGCCAGGGGCAAGGAGAACAUCACUUUGACAACAGAAAAGGCUGGCCUUAAAGUGAAAACCAGUAAACUAGAGAGCAAUCUUCAAAGCACAGGUAAAGCAGGGUCUAAGCUAAGUACACCUGCAAGGAAACAAAGCAAGUUAUCUGAAUCAAAACCUAGCACUCCUAAACACAGUCAGGUCCAGAUAUCUGUGUCUAAACCCAGCACUCCAAAGCAUGAUCAAAGCAAGUUGUCUGAGGUGAAUAAAGGUACAGAGAUGAAAGGUAAAGGCCCUGUAAAGAUCAGAAGUAAGGAGGCAAAGGAAGAUACUAAAACUAUUGAAGUUCAAAAUAAACCACUUCAAGAGGUCAAGUCCGCUCCAGUUAAAGGUAAACAAUUAGAGGUCAAAUCCACCCCUGUGAAAAGUAACAUUCAAGGGGUCAAGUCCGCUCCAGUCAAAGUUAAAGGUAAACAAUUAGAGGUCAAAUCCACCCCUGUGAAAAGUAACAUUCAAGAGGCCAAAUCCUCUACAGUCAAAGUUAAAGGUAAACCUGUGGAAAAGGAGCCAAUUCCAAUUAAAACUGUGGCUGAAAGCACUCCUUUGAAUGUAAAGAGGAUUCCUAAGGAGGUAGUAGAUAAGAACAAACCAUCUGAAGGUAAAAGCACUCCAAUAAAGGGACAAAGGAAGGCAAAAGAGGUGAAUGAACAAAAGACUGGGGAGUCUAUUACUCUCAAAGAGUCAGGGACAACAGAGGGGAACAAAAUGGCAGUUAAAAAUAAAGGCAAAGUCACAGAAACAAAAAGUGCACCCGCCAAAACAAAAAAUGUGCCAAAACCUGAAGAGGUUAAAGCUAAAUUGACUGAGUUGAAUGGAACCCCGGUGAAAGUGAAAAGCAGGCCAACAGAGGUUUCCAGCCAACCAAUCUUAGUAGAACCUACCUCAAAGGCCAAAUCACCAUCCGCAUCACUGUCAUUAUCAGAUGCACUACCUCAAAAUACUUGGGAUAAGAAGUCAGCGAAGUCUGAGCUUAGAGAGCCACUGGCUGUCUCACAGGUCAAAGAUAGAGUGGCGGUCCCAGGGGAAGAUACCAUUGGUGAAUCCCAGGAGGGGGAGCCUGGCUGGGGAGGAUUUCUCAGCGAUGCAGCCUCUCUCCUUCCAGCCGUGGGGGUGGCAGGCGUAGCCAUGGGGGUCUUGAGUGAGGCGGUGACAAGUGUGGGGGGGUUUCAGUCAGAGAGUGACAUAGCCACCUCUAUCCCUCCUCGGCGGUCCAGCCGGGUAGAGAGGUUCACCAAACAGAGCGCCAUCACCCAGCCUUCCUCCUCCUCCUCUUCAACAUCAGAUCCCAGUGCAGUAGCGCAAAGAAACAGGACCGCCAUACGCAUCAGUGUUCUUGAGAAUUCUGAUCAGGAAGCAGGGAGCAGGAGUUCUGAGAAGAACCCAGACACCACAGAGGCUGCUAGUGACAGGUCAGGAGGUCAGGCCGAGGUUGAUGACGAUGAAAACACUAGUAGAGGUCAAAAGUCAGAGGCUGAGAAUGAUGAACAUGAAGAUUUCACAAAGAGACAGGGAGAGGAGGAUGACAGAAGUAGUAAGGGUCUGGAAGAAGAGGAGGAGGAGGAUGACAGGAGUAGUAAGGGUCUGGACGAAGAGGAGGAGGAUGAUGAUAGAAGUAGUAAGGGUCUGGAAGAAGAGGAGGAGGAGGAUGACAGGAGUAGUAAGGGUCUGGAAGAAGAGGAGGAGGAUGAUGAUAGAAGUAGUAAGGGUCUGGAAGAAGAGGAGGAGGAGGAUGACAGGAGUAGUAAGGGUCUGGAAGAAGAGGAGGAGGAGGAUGACAGGAGUAGUAAGGGUCUGGAAGAAGAGGAGGAUGAUGACAGGAGUAGUAAGGGUCUGGAAGAAGAGGAGGGGGAGGAUGACAGGAGUAGUAAGGGUCUGGAAGAGAGCAGUGAACAGAACGAAGGGGGAGAAGCAGAAGACAGUGAUUCUGUGGCCAGCAGAGAAGGAGAGGAGGAGAGCAAAGAGAGUGAUUCUGAGGGGACAGGAGAGGGGGAGGAGAGCAAAGAGAGUGAUUCUGAGGGGACAGGAGAGGGGGAGGAGAGCAAAGAGAGUGAUUCUGAGGGGACAGGAGAGGGGGAGGAGAGCAAAGAGAGUGAUUCUGAGGGGACAGGAGAGGGGGAGGAGAG
ensembl:lncRNA